rnacentral:rRNA from 1 species
UACGAAGGGGGCUAGCGUUGCUCGGAAUCGACUGGGCGUAAAGGGUGCGUAGGCGGGUCUUUAAGUCAGGGGUGAAAUCCGUGGAGCCUCAACUCCAGAACUGCCUUUGAUACUGAAGAUCUUGAGUUCGGGGAGAGGUGAGUGGAACUGCGAGUGUAGAGGUGAAAUUCGUAGAUAUUCGCAAGAACACCAGUGGCGAAGGCGGCUCACUGGCCCGAUACUGACGCUGAGGCACGAAAGCGUGGGGGAAGCCAAAGCAG